rnacentral:rRNA from 1 species
GACAGAGGGGGCAAGCGUUGCUCGGAAUUACUGGGCGUAAAGGGCGCGUAGGCGGGCUGGCAAGUCAGUCGUGAAAUCUCUCGGCUCAACCGAGAAACGUCGGCUGAUACUGCCGUUCUUGAGGGAUGCAGAGGAGACUGGAAUUCCCGGUGUAGCGGUGAAAUGUGUAGAGAUCGGGAGGAACACCGGUGGCGAAGGCGGGUCUCUGGGCAUUUCCUGACGCUGAGGCGCGAAAGCGUGGGGAGCAAACGGG